rnacentral:misc_RNA from 3 species
AACGCACAUUGCGCCCCUUGGUAUUCCGAGGGGCAUGCCUGUUCGAGCGUCAUUAUAACCCCUCAAGCUCAGCUUGGUGUUGGGGCCUGCCGCACGGGCAGCCCUUAAAAUCAGUGGCGGUGCCAUCUGGCUCUAAGCGUAGUAAUUCUUCUCGCUAUAGAGUCACGGUGGAUGCUUGCCAUUAACCCCCAAUUUUCAAUGGUUGACCUCGGAUCAGGUAGGGAUACCCGCUGAACUUAA